CUGUUAAUGACCUGAGGAGGACUGUCGUGGUGCCGGUGCCUGCCAGCAAGAAACUGUAUUCUGCCCAAGUACUGUGCUCAAACUGGUGACACGCGUGAGCUGAUCUAUGCCUGUGUAGAGUUGGGAACCAAGGUGAUCUAGCAGACAUCUGAAUGAGAAAUGGCCAACUUGCUUUGCAUACUAAAAUUGUCUUCAGUGCUGAUCAUCUGUGUUGGAUCCUUUGCAGAAGGAGUCAAGUAUGUCACUGAAUUCAACUGCAACACUACCAAUGGUGAAUUCUUAGUCAGCCACAGCUCAUGGUCUGCUGCG